rnacentral:rRNA from 1 species
GAUGAACGCUGGCGGCGUGCUUAACACAUGCAAGUCGAACGAAACACUUUGAUCGAUUUCUUCGGAUUGAAAUUUUAGUGACUGAGUGGCGGACGGGUGAGUAACGCGUGGGUAACCUGCCUCACACAGGGGGAUAACAGUUGGAAACGGCUGCUAAUACCGCAUAACCGCACAGUACCGCAUGGUACAGUGUGAAAAACUCCGGUGGUGUGAGAUGGACCCGCGUCUGAUUAGCUAGUUGGCAGGGCGACGGCCUACCAAGGCGACGAUCAGUAGCCGACCUGAGAGGGUGACCGGCCACAUUGGGACUGAGACACGGCCCAGACUCCUACGGGAGGCAGCAGUGGGGAAUAUUGCACAAUGGGGGAAACCCUGAUGCAGCGACGCCGCGUGAGCGAAGAAGUAUUUCGGUAUGUAAAGCUUUAUCAGCAGGGAAGAAGAAAUGACGGUACCUGACUAAGAAGCACCGGCUAAAUACGUGCCAGCAGCCGCGGUAAUACGUAUGGUGCAAGCGUUAUCCGGAUUUACUGGGUGUAAAGGGAGCGCAGGCGGAAGGCUAAGUCUGAUGUGAAAGCCCGGGGCUCAACCCCGGUACUGCAUUGGAAACUGGUCAUCUAGAGUGUCGGAGGGGUAAGUGGAAUUCCUAGUGUAGCGGUGAAAUGCGUAGAUAUUAGGAGGAACACCAGUGGCGAAGGCGGCUUACUGGACGAUAACUGACGCUGAGGCUCGAAAGCGUGGGGAGCAAACAGAA